GGCCUCGGAUUCGCAUCAAUCCACGUGUUAGGGUGGAUUAGAGUGGAACUUGAAUUAAAUUCUACCCCAAUCCACUUCCAGCACAUGUGAAUUGAGGUGAAUCCGACA
rnacentral:pre_miRNA from 1 species